GGGAGGAGUACUGGGUGCACAUACACAAACUCGGAAUAUACCACCUCAUCGCUCUUAGUAAGAGUCCAGAUACUUGUACCUAAGAUCCUGGUAUACGAGUUAUUGCUUAAGGACUCGCCGUUCAAGCCAAAGACCAGUGUUUGAUCCAGAAAGAACCAGCUAGGUGCUGGGGUGAUCGCCUUCCUUCACAAACGUGGGAGUGACUGAGGCAUACAAGGCUCUGGCUUUUCUGUCAUAUAUCAUCACCGCAGAGAUGUACUUGACCACAGAUGAUGGUUAAUAACGACAGCCAAGUGGCAGGCACUCUUUUGCCUGUAUCAUCUCAAUUACUGUCAUCACUGAAAGAGACGUGUCUUGAAAGAAGUUGCUGUGGCCGAUGUCGAAGAGGUUACUGCCUAUGUUCUC